UUUAGUAAGCAUCUAUUUUGCUCGAAAAAGUCAUCGAUAUCGUCGAUUCGUUAAAAGUGCCUUGAUCCAGACUAUAUUAGUUCAACAUGUGGUGGCUUGAGCGAAAGCAGAACCAGUUGUUCCUGAUAGUGAAUGGACGGAGGGCAUUCAGCCGAAACAGGAAUGUCGAGUUUCCCGACGUCAUCAGCAUGAUUUGCGUCGCUACCACUUCAUCUACUGAAGACAGCAUACAGGUCUGUUUUAGUAAUGGUCUUUCUACACAGGCAAAGUUUUGCCAAAUGAGUGUCACAA